GACGAACGCUGGCGGCGUGCUUAACACAUGCAAGUCGAACGGAAAGGCCCUGCUUUUGUGGGGUGCUCGAGUGGCGAACGGGUGAGUAACACGUGAGUAACCUGCCCUUGACUUUGGGAUAACUUCAGGAAACUGGGGCUAAUACCGGAUAGGAGCUCCUGCUGCAUGGUGGGGGUUGGAAAGUUUCGGCGGUUGGGGAUGGACUCGCGGCUUAUCAGCUUGUUGGUGGGGUAGUGGCUUACCAAGGCUUUGACGGGUAGCCGGCCUGAGAGGGUGACCGGCCACAUUGGGACUGAGAUACGGCCCAGACUCCUACGGGAGGCAGCAGUGGGGAAUAUUGCACAAUGGGUGGAAGCCUGAUGCAGCAACGCCGCGUGCGGGAUGACGGCCUUCGGGUUGUAAACCGCUUUCGCCUGUGACGAAGCGUGAGUAACGGUAAUGGGUAAAGAAGCACCGGCUAACUACGUG
rnacentral:rRNA from 1 species